AAGAUGGCAACAGCCAAUGGAGUAAGGUGCAUAAGGGUUGAUCAAAAUGGUCUACUCUCAACUCUCAUUGUGUUAGUUGUUAUACGUGAAAGAACUGGAGUGGAGGAUGUCUAGUGUUGUUGCUGGUAGUGGGCAAGCUAAAGUCAAUGUAAAGCUAUAAGGGAUGAAAGACAUCUUGAAAAAAAAUGCAGAGACAAUCUAGCUUUAAUUAUAUACUUGUUUUAUUGUAUUUAAUUUUUACUUGUAAACAUUUAUAAGGAUUAUUUGUAUACAAAUUUUACUAGUUUUGUAAUUUGUAAUAUAUUAAUAUGUGAUUUUGA